GGCUGGGUAGCUCAGGGGCAGAGCAAGGGACUCAUAAACCCUAGGUCGUGGGUUCAAAUCCCACCCCAGCCA
rnacentral:tRNA from 1 species